UCAAAGCUCAUGCUGCUGGAGAUGCCU
rnacentral:piRNA from 1 species